ACUGUCCUUCUCUUGGGGUUGUAUUACUGUCCUAUAAGCGCAUAGUGAGGGCAGCACUGCUAACACCUACACAACAUGCUGGCAGCAACUAGAGUUUUGCUUUAUAUUGGUGCAAUUUUUGGAAGA